UCCGUAGGUGAACCUGCGGAAGGAUCAUUAACACUUCUCAGUCUCGGGCGCAAGCCUGGGACUGGAUGGAUCCACAUCCAUUUACCCCUGCGAACCGUUGAAGUCUUUUCAUGGUGAACCCAUAAACGACUGUUUUGAACAGCCUGAACUGUGUAAUUCGGUUUAAACUGAACGGGCCGGGAGCUCUCGGGCUUUUCGACUCAUUUUUUUUUUAUCGUCUUAUUUAUAACCAAAAACAACUUUCAGCAACGGAUAUCUUGGUUCUCGCAACGAUGAAGAGCGCAGCGAAAUGCGAUACGUAAUGUGAAUUGCAGGAUUCAGUGAAUCAUCAAAUUCUUGAACGCAUAUUGCGCUUCUCUGUCUUCGGGCAGGGGAGCACGUCUGUUUCAGUGUCUGUAAAACCCCAUCACCCCCCAAAGUGCUCUCGAGCGCCGCGGGUGCGGUGGUCUUUGGCGGUUGGAAGACGCGGAAACGCGGCGUCCAUUCGUUUAAAAGGAGAGAGUGUGGAGCGCUUCGCCUGGGACCCUCGGGUCUCGGGGGGCUGCACCACGACAUGAUGAAGUAGCACCCUUCCCGGGUUUACUGCGUCAGGUCGCGGGGCACGCCUUAAGGGCGCCUCCUGCCACUCUUACACAGGAAUAAAACCCUUAACCUUUUUACCAUGGACCUGAAAUCAGACGAGACUACCCGCUGAAUUUAAGCAUAUUAAUAAGCGGAGGAAAAGAAACUAACAAGGAUUCCCUUAGUAACGGCGAGUGAAAUGGGAAGAGCUCAAAUUUAAAAUCUCCGACCCCUCGGGACGGCGAAUUGUAGUUUAUAGAGGCGUUUUCUGGUGUUGGGCCGGGCCUAAGUCCCUUGGAACAGGGUAUCAUAGAGGGUGAGAAUCCCGUAUGUGGCUCGGACUCCGACCCUUUACGUAACGUUCUCGAAGAGUCGGGUUGUUUGGGAAUGCAGCCCUAAAUGGGUGGUAAAUUUCAUCUAAAGCUAAAUACUGGCGAGAGACCGAUAGCGAAAAAGUACCGUGAGGGAAAGAUGCAAAGAACUUUGAAAAGAGAGUUAAAUAGUGCUUGAAAUUGCUGAAAGGGAAACGCUUGAAGU
rnacentral:rRNA from 1 species